CAGCCGCCGCGGUAAUACGGAGGGUGCAAGCGUUAUCCGGAUUUAUUGGGUUUAAAGGGUCCGUAGGCGGAUCUGUAAGUCAGUGGUGAAAUCUCACAGCUUAACUGUGAAACUGCCAUUGAUACUGCAGGUCUUGAGUAAAUUUGAAGUGGCUGGAAUAAGUAGUGUAGCGGUGAAAUGCAUAGAUAUUACUUAGAACACCAAUUGCGAAGGCAGGUCACUAAGAUUUAACUGACGCUUAUGGACGAAAGCGUGGGGAGCGAACAGGAUUAGAUACCCCUGUAGUCCCUGUCUCUUAUAU
rnacentral:rRNA from 1 species